CCACAGCCAAAAGGAUUGCAUCUUAAUUGACCUAAAAUUUUGCAUAAAUAAUCUACAUAAAGCAGUAAAACCAGCAGUAAUUUUACCAAAUUCCAAAAAGAAAAAAAUUGCACAUAGAUUGCAACUCCGUGCACAAAAAGUCCUACGUAACACAACAUCAGCUACGAUACAAAUAUUUUAAAACAUGACUAAAUUGUAUAAUUUCUUUUUCUUUUUUUCCUCAAAAGUUUUGAGUAAAAAGAUUACAUGAAAUAAUUAUACAUUUUAAGGCAGCAAAAUAAUUUACUCUUCUGUUUUCUGAUUUAAGGUAGUGUCUGUCAAGUUAUAAGCAGCAUCAGCAGAGGAAGUGUCAAUAUCAUUCAGUCCCAACUCCUCAUUUUGCUCCCAGGACCUCCCAUAUUCCUCAAAUAGUAAUUGAUGGUCAUCCUUGAUAUCAUCAGUUGCUGGUGCAAUAAAAGAAUUUGCUAAUCCAUCAUCAAGAAUUAAGGUCCAUGGCUCUUCCACAUUCAAAAGCUUGGUCAGCCUUGCUUUAAAGUCUUGCCACUUGUUUUUUUUAUGUUCAUCGAGACUAUCUCCAAAGGUAAACCCAUGCACUCUCUCAAGGCUUUCACUAAUUUUUGUAAUUAAACCUUCAACAGUUGUAACAACUCCCCCCAAUGUACCACUAGCCAGCUCCAACUCAAGCUCUGGGACUUUCACGCUUGCAGUAUCUGACUUUAUUACAUCUCGGCUUAGGUCAUUAAUGUUCUUCACAUGUAGAGUGAUUCUCUUUCCUUUUUCAGGAAUUGGCCCACCAGGUUUCAACUCAGAAUUGCGAUAACCACAGGCAUCACAAGUGGAUGCCAUGACAAUUACUUCUUGGAAGUAUGGAAUUUUGGUGACAAACAUUCGUGUCUCACACCUGCUGGCACAAGCUCCACAACUUGAUGGGAAAGUCAUCACCUCUUCUGGUGCAGAGUACCGAAAGAUAGCAUCUGCAAUUUCUGCAUUGUUACUCUGAGCAAUGGCCCGAUGACCAGCCACUGCUCCAACUGAUCCAUGAGGUUCUCUUUUUUGUUCAGAAACACUGCCUGUCACCUCUGAUGGUGGUCUGUUGCCAGAUUCUCCCAAUUGAAUUGGUUCCACUAAAUAUCCCAAUGACACCUGUUGCUCUGGAGUUCGCUCAUAAAACUUAAUAGUCAACGAUGGAUCCGAGGAUGGAGCAAACGGAUUCUCAAUGAAGCUGUUUCCAGCAGGAUCAUCUAGGAUGAAGGUGAAAGAUGAAUCUCCAGUUGCACAAGCUUUCAAUUUCAAUAAAAACCGGUCAAUUGCUUCAGCAGUCUGAGGAUCAACUUUCUUCCGCUCUUCUUGAAGUGCUUCUAAUUCAUCCGCAGCUCGUGCCAAAAUCCCUUCCACUGUUGAUAAACUGCCACGUUGUGCCUCUGGAGGAAUUUCAAAAUCCAAUUCAGGAAUCUGUGUACAAAGAUAUAGAAGUGAAAAGAAAUCACAAAUCAAAACCUUAUGAUAAAGUAAACAUGUAAAGUUCUCAAACUCUCCAACACCCUAUAUUUUAUUAAGUGAGCACUACAGAUAAUGAAAAGACAUUUCAAUUCUGUAACAAAUUAAAAAAAAUCAUAAUUUACAAUUUAUAUGAUUAAUUUAUAUUAACAAUUAAAGAUCAUAUACUAGUAAUAAAAAUCAUAAUUUAAACAUUACUGACAAAAAUUGGUUAUUUUUGUUAUAAUAUUUGAGGUAACACGACAAAUGAUCAAAAACUCAAAAAUCUUCAAAACAUUGACCCAAACAAACCAGAAACUAGAAUCCAUUAACUGAAAUAGCUGAAUUUCAUCAGCUUGAUUCAAUUUUUCAGUUAAAAACCAAAUGAUGCUCAGUUGCUCACCCCUAAACCAAGGGCCAAUGGUGGAUUUAUCAUCUAGCAAACAGAUUAAGAGAAAUGUCUUAAACAAAUUGAUGUUUUGACAAUAGCAAUAACUGUCAUGAACAGGCAUUCAUGCAUUCAUGAACUGAAGUUCAGUAUGCUUACCUCCUCCGAAAUUAAAUAGGCCAUAAUUGUCUGAAACAGUUGGUUAGCAACUUAAAGAUACUGAGUCUAAAGCUUAAACCUUCAGUUGCACAAGGAUACAAACACAACUUGCACGUCUAUGGAUGCUAGCAAAAACUAAGAAGAGGGGAAACAACGGGCAGAAUGUAAUAAGAACUGCGAUGAUUGGGGCUUAAGUGCAAAGGACCUAUCCAAUUUGGCUUGCGACAAAAAAUUCUAUCCCACAAAACUAAUCAUAUAAACAGGCAAAUAAGAGUAAUAACAUAAAUAGAUAAAGUGAAUAUACCUUUAUGGUGGCAGAUUCAGAUUUUAUUACUUGUCUAUUAAGCACCUGUAUUUCAAACACAAUUGAAUUAUAUCUGUGGUACAAUUUCCUUAAAUUUUGAUGACAAGAAAACAUAUUUACAUAUUUCAUAUGCACACCAAAGCAAUGGAAAAGAAACUCAAAUAACAAGGACUUGCACCUUCUAACAUGUACAGAAAAAAGUUCAUAAAGGAAAGAGAAGUAAAUGAAAACAACAAAUCAAAAUAGAAAGGUCUUGCAACAAUAUAAUUUUUAGAAUGACACUAUAAUUGCUAUAAACAGUUCUAACACAAGCAAGGUCAACUAACAGAUUAUCUGAAAAUGAAAGCCUAGGAGACAACCACACAAUACAAUAAGGCACUUCCUGAGAAUGACCACAUGCAUUCAAAGAAAAGCACAAUUGCAUCAAUAUUUGACAAUUUGACAUCCACCAUAACAAUUCCAAAGUAGGGAGCAGGAAGCCCAUAAAUUAGAAUAACAGAAAAACAAGAUACUCUCAAUCACUUCCUUAUUUGAAGAAUUGGUGUCAAUCAUACUUAAUUCCCUGAAUUGUGCUUAAGUGCUAGUAAUUAGUUAAGAGGCAAUAUUUAUAGGCCAGGGAACAUGGCCUUAAAUCAUCAAGAAAAUGUUCAAAUUAACAUUAAAUGGUCAAUAUCAUAAAAAAAUUACCUAUGAAUAAGUUAUAACUAUCAUAUUCAUUUCACUUUAAAAUCAUCAAAAAAUGAAAAUUAAUUUAACCCAAUAAAAAAGUAAUCAAUACCGCAUAAAUACAAAUGAAACACAUUAGAAACAAUAAGCAUUUUGUUAUGGUUGCGACAACCUUCUGAUCGCCUGAUGACACCUCCAAGCGAUAACAACAGCCUCGUGGCUGGAUUUCACCAGCAAACUGGACUUCAUUGUUCCUAACAAGAAAUAAUGAGAGGGGGAAAAGGUUAUACAGAAGAUCACUUUUAACUAAAUAUCAUUAAAAUUCUCACAUCUUAAAAGAAGAAUAUAAGGUUACCUCUCACCACAGUGUGGACAUUCAAAGGCCGAUAACAAGAUCUUUCUGAAGUGUGGGAUUAGUGUCAAUAAAAGCCUCGUUACUCCAUUUUCACCGCAACGCAUACAGAGGCUUUCAACCUGGUAGAGAGGGGCAUCAUCGUCAUCGGUGGAAAUAGCUUCCACUACUGAUUGCACAUCCACUACUUGCUCCUUGUUGCUGCUGCUUUCCAUUUUUUUCCUCUGUGUUUUUGUUAACACUUUGGGGCAGGGGCAAAACUAAACGUGAAGAAAAGGCUUUCUAUUAGGUCUUUUUGGUAGUGUUGUUGUAUUCUGAUGUUGCUGUAUUGAAACGGCUGUUUUGAAGCGAUGGGCACCAAAACAAUCCGAAAAGAGCUGGAGUGGUUAAAACCAGCAGCUGAUGCACAAGCAAGUGAAGUGGUUAUACAUCAAUAGCUUGCAGAAGCUCCUUCCUCCUUCAAUUACAAAAAUAUAGACUGAAGAGAGUUGAAUAAGAGAGUGAAGGUGAAAGAGACGAGACAGUGAAGAGAAGUGAAAGAGGCGAGAGAGCGGUCUGUUAGGGUGGGUUCCUUUAGGAAAAUAGAAGGGUUUUAUAGUGGCAUGAUA
rnacentral:misc_RNA from 1 species